AAGAAAUAGGAGAAAGAAAAGUUGUUUGAGACUGACAUGAUACAUUGUUGAGCAGCUGAUCGAUUGUAUAAUCCACAGCAAACCAUCCGUGCACUUGCUUUCCAUUUACAUCUUGUAGAUUGCAGAACAACACCGUAUCCGGCAGACUCAAAGUCUGUGCCAUUUGAUUUGCAAAUGAGCUUGACUCCGGAAACAGUCCUGAGAACCCACCUCUGGCUAUCACAAGGGGCCGUUCACCUGCGGCAAGUACAAUAAGGACUGGAUUAUUACCGUUUAGAGUUAGCCAUUUCUGUGAUGGAGCUUCUGCCAACUUUUGCCCUGAAGUUGAAUGGAUCAG